AUGGCGCAGGCGGUGGUGCCGGCGAUGCAGUGCCAGGUGGGCGUGCGGGGCAGGUCGGCCGUCCCGGCGAGGCAGCCCGCGGGCAGGGUGUGGGGCGUCAGGAGGACCGCCCGCGCCGCCUCCGGCUUCAAGGUGCUCGCCCUCGGCCCGGAGACCACCGGCGUCAUCCAGAGGAUGCAGCAGCUGCUCGACAUGGACACCACGCCCUUCACCGACAAGAUCAUCGCCGAGUACAUCUGGGUUGGAGGAUCUGGAAUUGACCUCAGAAGCAAAUCAAGGACGAUUUCGAAGCCAGUGGAGGACCCGUCAGAGCUACCGAAAUGGAACUACGAUGGAUCGAGCACAGGCCAGGCUCCUGGAGAAGACAGUGAAGUCAUCCUAUACCCACAGGCCAUAUUCAAGGACCCAUUCCGAGGAGGCAACAACAUACUGGUUAUCUGUGACACCUACACACCACAAGGGGAACCCAUCCCUACUAACAAACGACACAUGGCUGCACAAAUCUUCAGUGACCCCAAGGUCACUUCACAAGUGCCAUGGUUUGGAAUCGAACAGGAGUACACUCUGAUGCAGAGGGAUGUGAACUGGCCUCUUGGCUGGCCUGUUGGAGGGUACCCUGGCCCCCAGGGUCCAUACUACUGCGCCGUAGGAUCAGACAAGUCAUUUGGCCGUGACAUUUCAGAUGCUCACUACAAGGCAUGCCUUUACGCCGGAAUUGAAAUCAGUGGAACAAACGGGGAGGUCAUGCCUGGUCAGGUUGGACCCAGCGUUGGUAUUGAUGCAGGAGAUCACAUAUGGGCUUCAAGAUACAUUCUCGAGAGAAUCACGGAGCAAGCUGGUGUCGUGCUCACCCUUGACCCAAAACCAAUCCAGGGUGACUGGAAUGGAGCUGGCUGCCACACAAAUUACAGCACAUUGAGCAUGCGUGAGGAUGGAGGUUUCGACGUGAUCAAGAAGGCAAUCCUGAACCUUUCACUCCGCCAUGACUUGCACAUAGCCGCAUAUGGUGAAGGAAACGAACGGAGGUUGACAGGGCUACAUGAGACAGCUAGCAUAUCAGACUUCUCAUGGGGUGUCGCGAAUCGUGGCUGCUCUAUUCGUGUGGGGCGAGAGACUGAGGCAAAGGGCAAAGGAUACCUGGAGGACCGUCGCCCGGCCUCGAACAUGGACCCAUACACCGUGACGGCGCUGCUGGCCGAGACCACGAUCCUGUGGGAGCCGACCCUCGAGGCAGAGGCCCUCGCUGCCAAGAAGCUGGCGCUGAAGGUAUGA
rnacentral:rRNA from 1 species